UACGGGGGGAGCAAGCGUUGUUCGGAUUUACUGGGCGUAAAGGGCGCGUAGGCGGCCGAUCAAGUCAGAUGUGAAAGUCCUGGGCUUAACCUGGGGACUGCAUUUGAUACUGAUUGGCUUGAAUUCGGGAGAGGAUAGCGGAAUUCCCAGUGUAGAGGUGAAAUUCGUAGAUAUUGGGAAGAACACCGGUGGCGAAGGCGGCUAUCUGGACCGACAUUGACGCUGAGGCGCGAAAGCGUGGGGAGCAAACAGG
rnacentral:rRNA from 1 species